rnacentral:rRNA from 1 species
CCCUUUAAUGUUUGAUGUUCUAACGUAGGCCCCUGACCGGGGUUGCGGACAGUGUCUGGUGGGUAGUUUGACUGGGGCGGUCUCCUCCCAAAGCGUAACGGAGGAGCACGAAGGUUAGCUAAUCCUGGUCGGACAUCAGGAGGUUAGUGCAAUGGCAUAAGCUAGCUUGACUGCGAGCGUGACGGCGCGAGCAGGUGCGAAAGCAGGUCAUAGUGAUCCGGUGGUUCUGAAUGGAAGGGCCAUCGCUCAACGGAUAAAAGGUACUCCGGGGAUAACAGGCUGAUACCGCCCAAGAGUUCA